UUAAAGAAUUUAUUUUAAAACUUACUUUGUAUAUUUGAGUUUCAAGAUACUAAAUAUGAUAAAAAAGCUAAUUGAAAUAUUUUUAUAGGUAUGUUUUGAAUUGAUUCUGUAAUUCCUUUGAGGCUAGGCAUGAGUGAAUAUAAAGUUCAGACAGAAGACACACUCUUUGCUGAUCCAAUUUCAAACUCUCUGCCUAACUGGCCUUUUAUUCCCAGGCACAGAUAAUGAAAAGGGAGAAUAAUGUAGAUGGGAAUGGCUGAAGUGAGCCACGCAUCAUAGUGAUGAGUUUUGUUGGCUUCAAGGGGCUGUUCCCAAAUUACAUUGGUGUCACACUGGAAUGAGAUCAUCUCAGUUCAACCACCACUCAAAACAUCACUCUUACCCAUAAAACAUCACUGGCUUCCAACACUCUCAAAAGUACAAAAGGUUCCUUCAGCCAUGCUUCUUUUCCAAGUGGAAGACGAAAGAAAGGUACAGACAGAGAAUCCAGCACCUAAGCAUCAUAAGGCUAAAUAUUUGUUCACUUGCUUAACAUGCAGUAAGUCCUGGAGUGCUCUCUGUUUACCCAAGAGGAUUUCAGCAUAGAGGCUUGCUCCAGAAAGGUAUUUGUUUAGAAAAGAGAAAAAUCCUGCAGAUCAGUGUAAUCUCUGUUACUCUAGGAAUUAGUGA
rnacentral:lncRNA from 1 species